UGGCGGACGGGUGAGUAACGCGUGGGUAACCUGCCUCAUACAGGGGGAUAACGGUUGGAAAUGACUGCUAAUACCGCAUAAGCGCACAGUACCACAUGGUACGGUGUGAAAAACUCCGGUGGUAUGAGAUGGACCCGCGUCUGAUUAGCUAGUUGGUGGGGUAACGGCCCACCAAGGCGACGAUCAGUAGCCGACCUGAGAGGGUGACCGGCCACAUUGGGACUGAGACACGGCCCAG
rnacentral:rRNA from 1 species